AUAAAGUUAGUUUAAAUAAAAUGAUAAGUUGUGGUCUUAUAGUUAAAUAUAUAAAAAUUUACUUUAUU
rnacentral:tRNA from 1 species